UUGCACGCUGGCGGCAGGCCUAACCCCUGCAAGUCGCGCGGAUGAAGGGAGCUUGCUCCUGGAUUCAGCGGCGGACGGGUGAGUAAUGCCUAGGAAUCUGCCUGGUAGUGGGGGAUAACGUCCGGAAACGGGCGCUAAUACCGCAUACGUCCUGAGGGAGAAAGUGGGGGAUCUUCGGACCUCACGCUAUCAGAUGAGCCUAGGUCGGAUUAGCUAGUUGGUGGGGUAAAGGCCUACCAAGGCGACGAUCCGUAACUGGUCUGAGAGGAUGAUCAGUCACACUGGAACUGAGACACGGUCCAGACUCCUACGGGAGGCAGCAGUGGGGAAUAUUGGACAAUGGGCGAAAGCCUGAUCCAGCCAUGCCGCGUGUGUGAAGAAGGUCUUCGGAUUGUAAAGCACUUUAAGUUGGGAGGAAGGGCAGUAAGUUAAUACCUUGCUGUUUUGACGUUACCAACAGAAUAAGCACCGGCUAACUUCGUG
rnacentral:rRNA from 1 species